AGCGAACGCUGGCGGCAGGCUUAACACAUGCAAGUCGAGCGGGCACUUCGGUGUCAGCGGCAGACGGGUGAGUAACAAGUGGGAACGUACCCUUUGGCUCGGAAUAACGCUGGGAAACUAGCGCUAAUACCGGAUACGACCUUUUGGGGAACGGCUGGCUGCCGAAGGAUCGGCCCGCGUCUGAUUAGCUAGUUGGUGGGGUAAUGGCCUACCACGGCGACGAUCAGUAGCUGGUCUGAGAGGAUGAUCAGCCACACUGGGACUGAGACACGGCCCAGAAGCCUACGGGAGGCAGCAGUGGGGAAUAUUGGACAACGGGCGCAAGCCUGAUCCAGCCAUGCCGCGGGAGUGAUGAAGGCCUUAGUGUUGUAAAGCUCUUUUGUCCGGGACGAUAAUGACGGUACCGGAAGAAUAAGCCCCGGCUAACUUCGUG
rnacentral:rRNA from 1 species